AGAGUAUAAUGCAGCCAAGGAUGACUUGCCGGAACGUUGCUAAUUAUCAUGCAUGCAUACAUGGUGAUGAACAUAUUUCUGGCAAGUUGUCCUUCGGCUACAUUUUACUCUCU
rnacentral:pre_miRNA from 1 species